rnacentral:rRNA from 1 species
GAUGAACGCUGGCGGCGUGCCUAAUACAUGCAAGUCGAGCGAACAGACGAGGAGCUUGCUCCUCUGACGUUAGCGGCGGACGGGUGAGUAACACGUGUAUAACCUACCUAUCAGACUGGGAUAACUUCGGGAAACCGGAGCUAAUACCGGAUAAUAUAUUGAACCGCAUGGUUCAAUAGUGAAAUACGGUUUUGCUGUCACUUAUAGAUGGAUCCGCGCCGCAUUAGCUAGUUGGUAAGGUAACGGCUUACCAAGGCAACGAUGCGUAGCCGACCUGAGAGGGUGAUCGGCCACACUGGAACUGAGACACGGUCCAGACUCCUACGGGAGGCAGCAGUAGGGAAUCUUCCGCAAUGGGCGAAAGCCUGACGGAGCAACGCCGCGUGAGUGAUGAAGGUCUUCGGAUCGUAAAACUCUGUUAUUAGGGAAGGACAAAUGUGUAAGUAACUAUGCACGUCUUGACGGUACCUAAUCAGAAAGCCACGGCUAACUACGUG